rnacentral:rRNA from 1 species
UACAGAGGGGGCAAGCGUUGUUCGGAAUUACUGGGCGUAAAGGGCUCGUAGGCGGCCAACUAAGUCGGACGUGAAAUCCCCAGGCUCAACCUGGGAACUGCGUCCGAUACUGGAUGGCUUGAAUUCGGGAGAGGGAUGCAGAAUUCCAGGUGUAGCGGUGAAAUGCGUAGAUAUCUGGAGGAAUACCGGUGGCGAAGGCGGCAUCCUGGACCGACAUUGACGCUGAGGAGCGAAAGCUAGGGGAGCAAACGGG